AAAGCAUGGAGAUCUUACAAACAUCGUCUGAAGACAACAUAUUUUAAUUGUGAUAAGAGGACACUAAAUGAAAUUACAAAUGAUGUUCCGAAAGGUGUCAAUAAAUAUAAAUGGGUUGGUCUACUUACAUUAUGGCGUCAGGAGAAACACAAGAAGGAGAAAAGUAAAGGAAAGGUUCACAGUAUUGAUGUAUGGGAUGAAGCACAUAAGAAAAAGGAUCCUCGUCUAAAGGCAGCACUGGAAAUGGUGUAUAAUGAAUUAGCCAAAAGAAAAGAUACUAAAUCUGGCAAUCUUUCAACCAAAGAUUAUGAGGAAGUUUUUCGAGGUAUAGUUGGAAAAGAGACAAAACUUCAAGGGUACUAUGAUAAUAAUAAUAAUUGGAGCCAGGUAGAGGUUUAUCAGGGACUAGGUGUUCCUAGGGAAUGUGAGGAAUAUGAAAUGCUAAAGUUAUCAAUGGAGACAAUGAGAAAACAAAUAGAGGUAUUGAGUCAUGACAUGAAUCUUAUGUGUGCUUUCAUAAAACGGAAAUUCCCUGCAGAGGAUUGGUGCACCAUGGUGGCAGCCAAAGAAAAUAAUGUUGAGAAUAUUGAUGAACAAGUUAAUAGCACAAAGUCAUGUGACAAUGUUGAACAGCAGUUGCACUCUUUCAGUUAUGCUAAAGCUACAGAUGGUCAUGUGAAUCUAUCUGUACCACAAGGACACAUGAUUGCCAAACAAGUAAUUACUGCGAGCACUGCCAAAAGGUUAAAGGCUAGUCACUAGUCCACGGAACCAACUAUGGUGGGUGAGAAUGAAACUGACAAGCAAUCAUGUAAUAUUUGUUGUACUAAUGCCAAGGAUCAUCAUGAGAACCUGUCUGUACUAUAUGAACGCACAUUUGCCAAGCAAUCAAGCAUGGAAAUAAAUAUCAAAAGGUCCAAACUAGUCCAAAAGAAUUUGGAAUUAUCUUAGAAUGGAAACAAUAAGGGUCAUAUUCAACAGACUAACAAUGAUAUUAUAGAUACAUUUGUUAGUGAACUUGAGGACUUAUCUUCUAGUGCCCAUGCUAUACCAAACAACAUGCAGUUGCAGCAAGCAAGCGUUGCAAGCUCUGGCAAAAGGCCAAGAUCUAGUGAAAGUUACGUGGAACCAAUUUUAUCUCAUAAGGACAAAGUCAAUCAGGUGCCUCAAAGAAAGGAAGUCUUAAAACAAAGUUCAUCUAAAUUAGACCAAAGGGUGGUUUACAUAUUCUCAUUGAAUCCAGUAUACAAAAAUAGAGUUGUGGCAAAAGGUAAUUUAGUGACUAUGGAUAGCACACAUGUGGUUGGAGGAAAUAUGCUUGGAAGUGAAUAUUAUGGUGUGGCUAUUCAUGCUGUUUCAAAUAUUGCUAACGAGAGGCUACCUAGACCAUUUGAAAAUUGCCAUACCGUAAGAGACACUAUUGGUUGUGUUAUUGCUUGGCCAUGAUCCCAUGUAAAAAAACUGAAAGCAAAUACUUCAACCUGCGUGGUACGUCAGCCUAAGACAAAUACUUCAACCCGCUCGGAGAAAGGAGUUGAUUACGAAAAGAAUAGAAGCAAAGGUGUUCCCUUCCAAAAAUAGAUGAAAGAUGAAAGAAUGGAUGCACUUUCUAGUUGAAGAAUUCAUUCAGAUUGAUCUCCAUCAAUUUAGAAGAGUUACCUUAGUUUUAUGUUUAGGAAUUUGUAUUGACCUUUAUUUUUCCAUUCAGUCGUUAUGUGGAUGUCGCAUAUUUUUUCACUGUGAUGGAUGAUUUUACUUUGAACUAUUUAUACAAAUUGA